ACUUAAAUUGAAGAGUUUGAUCAUGGCUCAGAUUGAACGCUGGCGGCAGGCCUAACACAUGCAAGUCGAGCGGUAGCACAGAGAGCUUGCUCUCGGGUGACGAGCGGCGGACGGGUGAGUAAUGUCUGGGAAACUGCCUGAUGGAGGGGAUAACUACUGGAAACGGUAGCUAAUACCGCAUAAUGUCGCAAGACCAAAGUGGGGGACCUUCGGGCCUCAUGCCAUCAGAUGUGCCCAGAUGGGAUUAGCUAGUAGGUGGGGUAACGGCUCACCUAGGCGACGAUCCCUAGCUGGUCUGAGAGGAUGACCAGCCACAC
rnacentral:rRNA from 1 species